rnacentral:tRNA from 1 species
CAAAAUAAAGCAUUAUAUAGAUGCAAUUCACUUACACUGAAUAGAUAGUUUUAUUAACUUGUUUUGA